rnacentral:rRNA from 1 species
AUACGUAGGGAGCGAGCGUUGUCCGGAAUUACUGGGUGUAAAGGGAGCGUAGGCGGGAGUGCAAGUCAGAUGUGAAAUACAUGGGCUCAACCCAUGGGCUGCAUUUGAAACUGCAUUUCUUGAGUGAAGUAGAGGUAAGCGGAAUUCCUGGUGUAGCGGUGAAAUGCGUAGAUAUCAGGAGGAACACCGGUGGCGAAGGCGGCUUACUGGGCUUUUACUGAAGCUGAGGCUCGAAAGCGUGGGGAGCAAACAGGAUUAGAUACCCUGGUAGUCCACGCUGUAAACGAUGAUUACUAGGUGUGGGGGGACUGACCCCUUCCGUGCCGCAGUUAACACAAUAAGUAAUCCACCUGGGGAGUACGGCCGCAAGGUUGAAACUCAAAUGAAUUGGCGGGG